rnacentral:rRNA from 1 species
CUACGGAGGAUGCGAGCGUUAUCCGGAUUUAUUGGGUUUAAAGGGUGCGUAGGCUGUGCGUUAAGUCAGGGGUGAAAUGCCGUCGCUCAACGACGGAGCUGCCCUUGAUACUGGCGUGCUGGAGUACGGAUGCCGUUGGAGGAAUGAGUGGUGUAGCGGUGAAAUGCUUAGAUAUCACUCAGAACACCGAUUGCGAAGGCAUCUGACGAAUCCGUCACUGACGCUGAGGCACGAAAGCUUGGGGAUAGAACAGGAUUAGAUACCCUGGUAUUCCACGCCGUAAACGAUGAUGACUAAACGUCGGCGAUAGACAGCCGGUGGCCAAGCGAAAGCGAUAAGUCAUCCACCUGGGGAGUACGUCGGCAACGAUGAAACUUAAAGGAAUUGACGGGG